AGAGACCAGAAUAUAAAAAAAAUUCAGAUAAGCUCCAAAAAUUCCAGCAAAAAUAUAUAAAAGUCCACAAUGAUAAAUAAACAACAAUAACCAUUUUUCAUUCCCAAUAACUUCAAAUAAAAAUUUUAUAAAUAAAUUUUGAAAAAUCAAUUUCAGAGAUAUUCAAAUUUACAAAAUUGUUGACUCGAAAAUCAAUGAAACUUCGUGAUACAUAUAAAAUAAAAUUCCACACAUCAUGCAAGAUCUAUGAACUUAUUGUAUCAUUUUAUCAUCAUAUUUUGAUAAAGAGAAUGAAUAAAUAAUUCUUCGAAUUGUGAAAUUAACAUAAUAAGAUCAAAUUGAGUUAUGCACGGCAUUCGAGACAGGAGUGGCUCUUUGAGCAUCUUUUCAUUUGACAUUCCACCUUAUAUCACCUACAAAAUGGAUGGCUCUUUGAGCAUAUUAUUUUUACAUUUUUUUUUGAAAGGUACUUUCUUUUUGUCUUAUAUAGGUACUUCAAUCAACAUGUGGUAGCUGCACACACUGACCGGACGACCGGAGUGGUAGCUCUUUCCUCCAUGUGGUGGUAGUUUUCACACUCCCUGCAGGGAUGUAACUCUUUCCACAUCUUGAAUUUCAGAAAUUUUCAUAGCUAAAAUUGGAAAGACUCCCCCUAAAUUAGUGCAGCCCUCAAGCCAAAAAUAUUAUCGCAAUUUCAAAAACAGAGAAAGAUUUAUUCAUCUCAGAACUAAUAAUCAAACAAACAAUUGCAACAUUCAAAGUUCAAAGAAUGAGGUGCUGAAUUUGAUUCAAUAUGCUAAAUAGAAUUUCAAUGAUUUGAUCGUUCAAAAAUAUGCCAAUAGAGAAUAACCCUGACAGUGAUCAAUCAAAAAUUAAAUAUGAAAUAAUUCAAAUCACAGAACAAUUCAUCUCCCAAAACAGCAACAUUAUUCACGAAAUUCAAUCUCAAACACUGGAAAUCAU
rnacentral:lncRNA from 1 species